GCCCGGGUGGCGGAACCGGCAGACGCAUACGACUCAAAAUCGUACGGGGAAACCCAUGAGAGUUCGAGUCUCUCCCCGGGCA
rnacentral:tRNA from 1 species